UAUGCGGUGAUGAGUAAGCUAACAUAUAAGAAGAACCCAUCAGGAAGUGGGAUCUUCCAUGAAAUACCUGUUACGCUUGGCUUCUGAGCUUU
rnacentral:snoRNA from 1 species